rnacentral:rRNA from 1 species
UACGUAGGGUGCAGGCGUUAAUCGGAAUUACUGGGCGUAAAGCGUGCGCAGGCGGUUUCUUAAGUCAGAGGUGAAAUCCCCGGGCUUAACCUGGGAAUGGCCUUUGUGACUGCACGGCUAGAGUGUGUCAGAGGGGGGUAGAAUUCCACGUGUAGCAGUGAAAUGCGUAGAGAUGUGGAGGAAUACCGAUGGCGAAGGCAGCCCCCUGGGAUAACACUGACGCUCAUGCACGAAAGCGUGGGGAGCAAACAGG